rnacentral:rRNA from 1 species
AGAGUUUGAUCCUGGCUCAGAACGAACGCUGGCGGCGUGCUUAACACAUGCAAGUCGAGUGCGCGGUUGUAGCAAUACAACUGGCGCACGGCGCACGGGUGCGUAACACGUGGGCAAUCUGCCCUUCGAUGGGGAAUAACUCCGGGAAACCGAAGCUAAUUCCGCAUAACAUUCCUUGGACCUCGGUUCGAGGACUCAAAGCCGCAAGGCGUCGAAGGAGGAGCCCGCGCACGAUUAGCUAGUUGGUAGGGUAACGGCCUACCAAGGCUUUGAUCGUUAGCUGGUCUGAGAGGAUGGCCAGCCACACUGGAACUGAGACACGGUCCAGACUCCUACGGGAGGCAGCAGUGGGGAAUCUUGCACAAUGGGCGAAAGCCUGAUGCAGCGACGCCGCGUGGGGGAUGAAGCAUUUCGGUGUGUAAACCCCUUUCGACCCGGACGAAUGCCUCGCAAGAGGAGUGACGGUACGGGUAUAAGAAGCCCCGGCUAACUACGUGCCAGCAGCCGCGGUAAGACGUAGGGGGCCAGCGUUGUUCGGAAUUACUGGGUGUAAAGGGUUCGUAGGCGGUGUGGCAAGUUGGGAGUGAAAUCUCUGGGCUCAACCCAGAGGCUGCUUCCAAAACUGCUGUGCUUGAGUGUGGGAGAGGCGCGUGGAAUUGCAGGUGUAGCGGUGAAAUGCGUAGAUAUCUGCAGGAACACCCGUGGCGAAAGCGGCGCGCUGGACCACAACUGACGCUGAGGAACGAAAGCUAGGGGAGCAAACAGGAUUAGAUACCCCAGUAGUCC